rfam:Tolumonas auensis DSM 9187, complete genome.
CCACCAUCGCCAUCAUCCGGACUAGUCUUUCAGGAGGAUUGCUGCUGGAAGACACAAAUGUGACUUCCAAGUGGUUCCCAAGCCAAUCACUAAACCCUCGGAAGCCACUACUUCCGAGGGUUUUUUCAU